rnacentral:rRNA from 1 species
GACGUAGGAGGCGAGCGUUGUCCGGAUUCAUUGGGCGUAAAGAGCGCGCAGGCGGCUUGGUAAGUCGGAUGUGAAAUCCCGAGGCUCAACCUCGGGUCUGCAUCCGAUACUGCCCGGCUAGAGGUAGGUAGGGGAGAUCGGAAUUCCUGGUGUAGCGGUGAAAUGCGCAGAUAUCAGGAGGAACACCGGUGGCGAAGGCGGAUCUCUGGGCCAUUACUGACGCUGAGGAGCGAAAGCGUGGGGAGCGAACAGG